CAGCAAAAUAAGUCCUACAAUGUUCCAGCAUUCACUGCAGUUCCUAACACUACAGUGCACCAAAAGGCAAAGUGCAUUCUAAAGACACAGCUAGCAAGGAAGUAAUGGCAAAAAUAGGCAGCUGUUCAUAGAAUCACAGCAGUUUUCACUUUGGUUUUAGAUAUUACACAACAGUCUAGCCAUGCCAAUUCAUAAAUGAAUAUGCACAGACAGGCUGAAAAGUGAGCUGACACUCAGCCAAACAGCUGCUCAGCUGACACUCAUCACAUGGCUGCUCAGGGCAAUACUUCCUCUAACACAAUCAGCAUGGGAGUAGCUGCUUGGAACUCUCAUAGUAUUAAAAACAAUUUAACAUUGAAUAGAAGAAUGUUGCCAUGGGACUUCAGACAGAGCUAUUUUAAUGUGAUUUAGCAGUUACAGGGUUUACAGUGUCCCUUUAAUCUAAAGUAAAUUUUUGGCUGUGCCUGAAAAAUGUAAUAGGGUGAGUAGUGUAGCUCAACAAAUAAUCGGGCUCUGAAAGGCGAGGGGAGAGAGAAACAAAACACUUACAUUGGAG